rnacentral:tRNA from 1 species
GCGCUUGUAGCUCAGCUGGAUAGAGCGCUUGGCUACGAACCAAGAGGUCGGGAGUUCGAAUCUUCCCAAGCGCNCCA